ACCUGGCUGGCUCAGUUGGAAGAGCAUGGGACUCUUGAUCUUGGGGUUGUGAGUUUGAGUCCCACAUUGGGUG
rnacentral:tRNA from 1 species